AGCUCCGGCAGGUACGUGUCCGUGGAUCUAAUGAACCCGCAUAGCUCAGCCUGCAUGGAGUGGGGAUCCAAGCUCCAAAAGAUUGUUCUUCAUGGCAGAUGGGCACUUACAUCUUUCCUGACGCAUUUGUAGAAGCAAGCUCCGGCGCGCGAGGCGAAGGUGACCACCUUGUCGAGGUAGCCAGGGCAAGGGAUGGGUGGCAGCACUUCCUGAGGCUGCGAGGAAGAAAAGUGAAUCUUCCAGAGCAAGGGUGUGUGCGGUCGAUGCAGUGCAUGUAUAUAUUAAAAAAUGUUUGCUGGAAUCCACCGUUCGGUGUGUAACGGCUGAGCCGUGGACCACGACGCUAGUGUCCAUCUGAGCCGGCUAGUGCUGGAUGAUGGACGUCUCAAUAAAUGCGGUCGGUGAGUGGGCCCUAGUCUGUGGAAAAGCAUCUCAUACUACUCAGAAUACGCAGUAAAAUACAUCUCCUGAUGCGAAUCUUAGCGCCAGACGAUGGCUGGGAUAGCAGGUCCAUCUGAGCUCGAGCUCAGAAUAGGAC
rnacentral:lncRNA from 1 species